GGCCAGGUAGCUCAGUUGGUACGAGCGAUCGCCUGAAAAGCGAUAGGUCGCCGGUUCGAUCCCGGCCCUGGCCACCA
rnacentral:tRNA from 2 species